ensembl:lncRNA
CUUAUUUUCUCUAAACCUAAGGAAAGAAAAAAUGAAAGUGAAUAAUAGGAAAAAUAAAAAAUAAAAAGUCAGACUUGGAGAUUUCUGCUCUUUCCACUGAACUUCCCUUUGGAUGAGUCAGAGGAAGGUGGGAAAUUAUAAGAAGAUCACCCUGUGAAGAUCUAUGAAAAUCUAGUCAGAUAAUCAACUGAGACUGAAGAAUGAUUCUUCUCACCCUGAAGUGCACAUCUAAAAUAGAUCAGACAGUCAAACCUCAGAAUUGUUGGCUGUUAAGUGAGGUCAGCACGACUAGCUUUGUAGCAGAAGUUCACUACAGAUGUCUAAAGCCAGAUGAGAAGUAUCACCUCAUUAAUUAAUUCAAGCACAGUAUGAAUGUAGUAAAGGACCAGCGCACCAGCAAAGGCAGCUAUACAAAAGCUCUUCUGUGUGUUGAUAGGCAGUAGAGGUGCCAGUGAUAAAUUGGGCUGCACGUGGAACAAGAUUAAAAGUAUUAAGUUGGAGUGCAUUGCCUUGUACGUGAAUUUACUGAGUAGCUUCAAAGGGAAUGUAUGUUCAGUUAUGAUGGUUUGAGGGGAAAAAAAUUUUGUCAUUUUGUAUUGUCACAAAGGAAGACAUUCUACGUAAGUGCUAGAAGAUAAGGGAAAUCAUGGAAAACCUGUUAUAUGAAGGAUUCAGAAAGACUUGGAUUGUUAGCAUGUGGAAGGAGACAAAGAAAUAUAGCAAUAAAAGCUGGGUUCACUGUGGUUGUAUGCUUGUUUUGUCACAGAUGUUCAGGGCACAAACUACCCUAACAAUGGCAUCCCUAAACUUGGUGUCCAGAUCUGAGAUAGUCACCUUGGGCUGCAAUAGAAGGGAAAAUGAUUAUUCUAUACUUACCAUUAGCAAGUGAUAUUCUUCCAUGUCUUGGAAAGCAGGGUCUCAAUGGACAUAGCAGCCAUUUGGGAGGACAGACAAGUUGAAAAGUGGUACAGGGGGUCUGCUUCUCCUCUCACUGUAGAAAUGAGCUAUGGACCUCACUGUUGCAUCAAUUGACUGACACUGCUCCAAGAUGAGUAAGAUUCAAAGAGAAACAGUGAUUACAUGGCUGAAAAGAAUAUCCAGAUAUAGCACAAAAGAUAAAAUUACACAGGAAGGCUAUAAAAUCUUCAGAUUUGAAAAGAUCAAGAUAUCCUUUAUUUUUUGUUGCUCAGAAGAGAUAAUCUGGGUUACAGACUGUAACGUCUGCUUAUUACAAACCAUUUUACACUUUUCUCCAGUCAAUGUUCUUUCUCAGGAAAGAAGUCCCUAGGCUAUUUCUCUGAUCCUAUAUGGACAUUUUUAUGUUGCUAGAGAAGAUGGAAGUCUCCAUUUGUGUUUAACAUGGGAUUUCCUCUUCUAGAUGGAAAUCAUCCAGUCUCAUUGAUUAAGUGCAAUUUCCACACACUUCAGUACAGCUCUGCAGGAUUUAAUGACUGCACCCAGCUGAGCAAUAUUCUCUGGAUUUGAUUCACUAUACAUAUUAAUUUUAGAGCCUGUCUCAAAUAACCUUCAUUGAUUUCUUCAUCAUAUAUACAAGUCUAACCUUGUUUGACUGGUUGCUUGAAAUGCAGUGCCAUUAUUCAGUGGAACAGGAAUUAAGACAGGCUGAUGUGGCUGAACAGAAUUAACGGUUUAAAAAAGUUGUCUGUCUGUGCUGAUGCAUUUGAGAAGAAAAGUGAUGGGGAUUCUGAGCACAGCAAGACCUGCAAGGUGCUUUGUAAAGCAAGUUACUUUCAGGAGAAAAAAAAAAAACAAAAACUGUAUGAAUGGUACAUUAGGCAUGAUCUGAUAAUAACCCCAAAAAUGUCUAAAAUGGAUACAAAUUGCAAAUCCACAGCUGUGACAAUGCAACUAUGGAUUUCUGGCCUCAUAGAUUUAGAGGAGCAAUAAAUGCCAUUGCCAAACUAGUUAAAAGCAACGGCUGAAAGUGUGUAAGUUAGACUAGCUGGAAAGUAAAUGUUUGGAAAAUGCUUUGAGAUUUCAUGUCAUUUCCUUGGGAUAGAACACUCUGAGGCAUCAGUAACUUCAUUUUCCAUUGUGGUGAACUUCAGAGCAAAAGAUUUAAAGACAAUCUCUAUAUGCUUUCUCCCAGAAAACUAUAAGCUUAAUGACUCGUUUUAUUAAAAGCUGAAUUCCAGGAAGUCUAAGUAGUCAUGGUGUGUUUUUUAUUUGUAAUGCUUUCAUCCGUAAGCACUGUUAUUUUUGUCCUUAUCCUGUACCUCUUAGCAAGCUUGCUUUUCUUGUUAUGAG